AUUGAACGCUGGCGGCAGGCCUAACACAUGCAAGUCGAACGAGUGGCGGACGGGUGAGUACUGUCUGGGAACCUGCCUGAUGGAGGGGGCUAACUACUGGAAACGGUAGCUACUACCGCCUACCAUCUGAUGUGCCCAGAUGGGAUUAGCUAGUAGGUGGGGUAAAGGCUCACCUAGUCGACGAUCCCUAGCUGGUCUGCGAGGAUGACAAGCAAGAGUAGAACUGAGACACGGGCCAGACGCCGACGGGAGGCAGCAGUGGGGAAUAUGGAACAAGGGGCGCAAGCCUGAUGCAGCCAGGCAGCGUGUAUGAAGAAGGCCUGCGGGGUGUAAAGUACUGUCAGCGGGGAGGCGUUACCCGCAGAAGAAGCACCGGCUAACUCCGUGCCAGCAGCCGCGGUAAUUC
rnacentral:rRNA from 1 species